rnacentral:rRNA from 1 species
UACAUCGGAACGUGUCCUGGAGUGGGGGAUAGCCCGGCGAAAGCCGGAUUAAUACCGCAUACGCUCUGUGGAGGAAAGCGGGGGAUCUUAGGACCUCGCGCUCAAGGGGCGGCCGAUGGCAGAUUAGCUAGUUGGUGGGGUAAAGGCCUACCAAGGCGACGAUCUGUAGCUGGUCUGAGAGGACGACCAGCCACACUGGGACUGAGACACGGCCCAGACUCCUACGGGAGGCAGCAGUGGGGAAUUUUGGACAAUGGGGGCAACCCUGAUCCAGCAAUGCCGCGUGUGUGAAGAAGGCCU